rnacentral:rRNA from 1 species
UACCCGCUGAACUUAAGCAUAUCAAUAAGCGGAGGAAAAGAAACCAACCGGGAUUACCUUAGUAACGGCGAGUGAAGCGGUAACAGCUCAAAUUUGAAAUCUGGGCCCUGCGGGCCCCGAGUUGUAAUUUGUAGAAGAUGCUUCGGGUGUGGCACUGGUCCAAGUUCCUUGGAACAGGACGUCAUAGAGGGUGAGAAUCCCGUACAUGACCGGUAGCCUGCACCCAUGUGAAGCUCUUUCAACGAGUCGAGUUGUUUGGGAAUGCAGCUCUAAGUGGGUGGUAAAUUUCAUCUAAAGCUAAAUAUGGGCCAGAGACCGAUAGCGCACAAGUAGAGUGAUCGAAAGAUGAAAAGCACUUUGGAAAGAGAGUUAAAUAGUACGUGAAAUUGUUGGAAGGGAAGCGCUUGCAGCCAGACUUGCGUGGGGUCGAUCAUCCGGUGCUCUCACUGGUGCACUCGGCUCUACUCAGGCCAGCAUCGGUUCUGGCGGCUGGAGAAAGGCCUGGGGAAUGUGGCUCCCCCUGGGGAGUGUUAUAGCCCUAGGUGUCAUGCAGCCUGCUGGGACCGAGGACCGCGCCCUGGCUAGGAUGCUGGCGUAAUGGCUGUAAGCGGCCCGUCUUGAAACACGGACCAAGGAGUCUAACAUCUGUGCGAGUGUUUGGGUGUCAAACCCAGGCGCGUAAUGAAAGUGAACGGAGGUGAGAGCCCUGCGGGGUGCAUCAUCGACCGAUCCUGAUGUCUUCGGAUGGAUUUGAGUAGGAGCAUGGCUGUUGGGACCCGAAAGAUGGUGAACUAUCCUUGAAUAGGGUGAAGCCAGAGGAAACUCUGGUGGAGGCUCGCAGCGGUUCUGACGUGCAAAUCGAUCGUCAAAUUUGGGGAUAGGGGCGAAAGACUAAUCGAACCAUCUAGUAGCUGGUUCCUGCCGAAGUUUCCCUCAGGAA